AGGCUCAAAACAGGUGUGUAAACUUUUGACUGUUUGCCAAUACACCUUUCAACUGGGAACAUGGAUGAGGUCUCAUUUGAGGUGACCCCAAUCCAAAUUGAAGCAUUUCCUCUGUUGUCAAAGAUGGAGCAAUAAAUUGUGACUUUAAUGAUUGUUGCUGCGGCCUUCCACACUAAAAUUCUGUGGUGAGAAAAUGUAUUAUCCCUUUCCUGGACAACAAAGGACACAAUAAACAAUUCUGAUAUGUAACCCCUUGCAUAAAUGUAA